rnacentral:rRNA from 1 species
GAAGAACGCUGGCGGCGUGCCUAAUACAUGCAAGUCGAGCGAACGGACGAGAAGCUUGCUUCUCUGAUGUUAGCGGCGGACGGGUGAGUAACACGUGGAUAACCUACCUAUAAGACUGGGAUAACUUCGGGAAACCGGAGCUAAUACCGGAUAAUAUUUUGAACCGCAUGGUUCAAAAGUGAAAGACGGUCUUGCUGUCACUUAUAGAUGGAUCCGCGCUGCAUUAGCUAGUUGGUAAGGUAACGGCUUACCAAGGCAACGAUGCACAGCCGACCUGAGAGGGUGAUCGGCCACACUGGAACUGAGACACGGUCCAGACUCCUACGGGAGGCAGCAGUAGGGAAUCUUCCGCAAUGGGCGAAAGCCUGACGGAGCAACGCCGCGUGAGUGAUGAGGGUCUUCGGAUCGUAAAACUCUGUUAUUAGGGAAGAACAUAUGUGUAAGUAACUGUGCACAUCUUGACGGUACCUAAUCAGAAAGCCACGGCUAACUACGUGCCAGCAGCCGCGGUAAUACGUAGGUGGCAAGCGUUAUCCGGAAUUAUUGGGCGUAAAGCGCGCGUAGGCGGUUUUUUAAGUCUGAUGUGAAAGCCCACGGCUCAACCGUGGAGGGUCAUUGGAAACUGGAAAACUUGAGUGCAGAAGAGGAAAGUGGAAUUCCAUGUGUAGCGGUGAAAUGCGCAGAGAUAUGGAGGAACACCAGUGGCGAAGGCGACUUUCUGGUCUGUAACUGACGCUGAUGUGCGAAAGCGUGGGGAUCAAACAGGAUUAGAUACCCUGGUAGUCCACGCCGUAAACGAUGAGUGCUAAGUGUUAGGGGGUUUCCGCCCCUUAGUGCUGCAGCUAACGCAUUAAGCACUCCGCCUGGGGAGUACGACCGCAAGGUUGAAACUCAAAGGAAUUGACGGGGACCCGCACAAGCGGUGGAGCAUGUGGUUUAAUUCGAAGCAACGCGAAGAACCUUACCAAAUCUUGACAUCCUUUGACAACUCUAGAGAUAGAGCCUUCCCCUUCGGGGGACAAAGUGACAGGUGGUGCAUGGUUGUCGUCAGCUCGUGUCGUGAGAUGUUGGGUUAAGUCCCGCAACGAGCGCAACCCUUAAGCUUAGUUGCCAUCAUUAAGUUGGGCACUCUAAGUUGACUGCCGGUGACAAACCGGAGGAAGGUGGGGAUGACGUCAAAUCAUCAUGCCCCUUAUGAUUUGGGCUACACACGUGCUACAAUGGACAAUACAAAGGGCAGCGAAACCGCGAGGUCAAGCAAAUCCCAUAAAGUUGUUCUCAGUUCGGAUUGUAGUCUGCAACUCGACUACAUGAAGCUGGAAUCGCUAGUAAUCGUAGAUCAGCAUGCUACGGUGAAUACGUUCCCGGGUCU